ACGGCUCAGUAACACGUAKUCAACAUGCCCAGGGGACGUGGAUAACCUCGGGAAACUGAGGCUAAACCGCGACAGGCCAAGAUUUCUGGAAUGGAUCAUGGCUUAAAUCUAUAUGGCCCCUGGAUUGGACUGCGGCCGAUCAGGCUGUUGGUGAGGUAAUGGCCCACCAAACCUGUAACCGGUACGGGCUCUGAGAGGAGAAGCCCGGAGAUGGGCACUGAGACAAGGGCCCAGGCCCUAUGGGGCGCAGCAGGCGCGAAACCUUUGCAAUAGGCGAAAGCCUGACAAGGUUACUCUGAGUGAUCUCCGCUAAGGAAAUCUUUUGACACCUCUAAAAAUGGUGUAGAAUAAGGGGUGGGCAAGCCUGGUGUCAGCCGCCGCGGUAAUACCAGCACCCCGAGUGGUCGGGACGAUUAUUGGGCCUAAAGCAUCCGUAGCCGGUUCUUUAAGUCCUCCGUUAAAUCCACCUGCUUAACAGAUGGGCUGCGGAGGAUACUAUAGAGCUAGGAGGCGGGAGAGGCAAGCGGUACUCAGUGGGUAGGGGUAAAAUCCUCUGAUCCAUUGAAGACCACCAGUGGCGAAGGCGGCUUGCCAGAACGCGCUCGACGGUGAGGGAUGAAAGCUGGGGGAGCAAACCGGAUUAGAUACCCGGGUAGUCCCAGCUGUAAACGAUGCAGACUCGGUGAUGAAUAGGCUUAGUGCCUAUUCAGUGCCGCAGGGAAGCCGUUAAGUCUGCCGCCUGGGGAGUACGGUCGCAAGACUGAAACUUAAAGGAAUUGGCGGGGGAGCAC
rnacentral:rRNA from 1 species